GUCCACGCUGUAAACUAUGAGUGCUAUACGUCGGGGAGCUUGCUCUUCGGUGUCGCCGCUAACGCAUUAAGCACUCCGCCUGGGGAGUACGGUCGCAAGAUUAAAACUCAAAGGAAUUGACGGGGGCCCGCACAAGCGGUGUAGCAUGUGGUUUAAUUCGAAGCAACGCGCAGAACCUUACCAGCCCUUGACAUGGGACGUAUGGGAUUUGGAAACAGAUCUCUUCAGUUCGGCUGGCGUCCACACAGGUGCUGCAUGGCUGUCGU
rnacentral:rRNA from 1 species